UAGAGAACAACCCAUGUCUCAAUAGAAAAGAAGUAGAAUCUAUCAGAUUGAAAAUGUUAUAGAUAUCUACAGUAAGGUAGAUGAGUUGUCCUAAAAAUUAGACCAUCUUCUGAAUACUGGACACUCUCCGAUUCUAUUUAAUCCAGUCCAAGAUAUUUGUGCGUUGUGUGCAAGCCCAACCCAUAUUGUUAAUGAAUGCCCAACCGCACCUCAAAUUUUUGAGUUUGUACACGAGCAGGUCCAGCAAGCUCAAACCCAACAAGCUUGUAGAUCAGAAAAUGAUCCAUACUCAAAUAUUUAUAACCCCUAUUGGUGAAACCACCCAAAUUUUUUCUGAAGACCACAGUCAGUGGUUGGCCUUGCUGUGCCUAAACCUAACUAUCAGGACCUGAUAUAUAGGUAUGGACCAUACCACCAGUUUUAAAAUGCUCCUCAAUCAUCUACCACUGGUCACAAUUCAGUUUUUGAGGAGAAGAUUUUAAAAGCACUAGAAUGAUUAGAAGUCAACACCUAGACCCUUAACUCCCACAUGCAAUCCAUUGCUAAGCUAGAAAUAUAAAUAGGUCAACUAGUAACCGCAUUUAGUAGGAGGGAAGGAGGAAAAUUAUCUAGCC
rnacentral:lncRNA from 1 species